GACGGAGGAUGCAAGCGUUGUUCGGAAUCACUGGGCGCAAAGCGCGUGUAGGCGGUUUGAUAAGUCGAAUGUGAAGGCCCGAGGCUCAACCUCGGAAGUGCAUUCGAAACUGUCAGGCUUGAGUACGGGAGAGGGAAGUGGAAUUCCUGGUGUAGAGGUGAAAUUCGUAGAUAUCAGGAGGAACACCGGUGGCGAAGGCGGCUUCCUGGACCGAUACUGACGCUGAGACGCGAAAGCGUGGGGAGCAAACAGG
rnacentral:rRNA from 1 species